GACGGACGCUGGCGGCGUGCUUAACACAUGCAAGUCGAACGAUGAAGCGGGUGCUUGCACUCGUGGAUUAGUGGCGAACGGGCGAGUAACACGUGAGUAACCUGUCCUUUUCUUUGGGAUAACGGCUGGAAACGGCUGCUAAUACUGGAUAUUCAGGCUGCAUCGCGUGGUGUGGUUUGGAAAGGUUUUUUCUGGGAUUGGGUGGGCUCGCGGCCUAUCAGCUUGUUGGUGGGGUGAUGGCUUACCAAGGCUUUGACGGGUAGCCGGCCUGAGAGGGUGGGCGGUCGCACUGGGACUGAGAUACGGCCCAGACUCCUACGGGAGGCAGCAGUGGGGAAUAUUGCACAAUGGACGAAAGUUUGAUGCAGCGACGCCGCGUGGAGGGUGUAGGCCUUCGGGUUGUGAACUCCUUUUUCUCGCGAAAAAGGCACAGUUUUGGCUGUGUUGAUGGUAGUGGGGGAAGAAGCGCCGGCUAACUACGUG
rnacentral:rRNA from 1 species